AUGAAGGACCUCAGAGCUGAGGUGGAGGAGGUCAGCCAGAGGAACCAACGGUACCACCUCAUCAAGGGCUCUAGCUCCAAGCCUACCUCUGCUGUUGGGCAGCCUAUCAUGUCCAGCGCGACGAUGUCUGCCGCCUAUCAUGCAAGGCUGCGGCGGCAUAAAGCAAAAAUGGAUCUUGUUGAGUUGAUCAAUUACAAGGAUAAUGCACUUCAAGUGAUAGCGUUGUGGGGCACAAGUAGCACUGAUCUGGGGGAGAUAUCCAUCAUCAAAAGUGCUUAUGAAGAUCCCAUGAUACACAACAAUUUUGAUUGUUGUGCUUGGAUCACAUUGAUGUGUCCUUUCAGUCAGACAGACUUCAUUCGAAGCAUUGUUAGGCAAAUCUGUGUUAAUUCUCUUCAAAAGACAGGAGAGGAAGGGAAAACAACUAUUGGGGCCCAAGUUUUGAAGAUGAUGGCGACGACAAAAGAAGAUGGUUUGGCUUGUGAGUUCAAGAGAUAUUUGAAUGACAAGAGUUACCUUAUUGUACUCAAUGACAUACACAAGAUUGAAGAGUGGGAUUGCAUUAAAACAUGUUUCCCAAACAACAACAAUAAAGGAAGCCGAAUCAUAGUGUGCACCGAGCAAGUUGAAGUUGCAUGCUUAUGCAUAGGAGCAGAGGAUGAAGCUUUAGUGCAUAAGAAGUUAUUUGCUGAUGAGUCUCUUUAUGCUUUCUACAGUAAGGUAUAUCAGGAGGGAAGGAAUUCAGCAGAAAAAGGAUCCGUCUCAUACGUAGUCUCUACUGGUGUUAACAACUCUACACACAAGAACAUCCUCACUCGCACGGAGACAAUGACUACUCUAGAGGAAUCUUGUCUCAUCGGGAGAGGGAAUGAAAAAGUGGAAAUCAUCAAACUAAUCUCAAAUAAAGAUCUCCAGCAUUUUCAUGUGAUUUCCUUGUGGGGAAUGGGUGGUAUUGGAAAAACAACACUAGUGACAGAUAUUUAUCAAAGCCAAGAGAUCAGUAGCAUGUUUGAUAAGCGUGCUUGUGUCACAGUCAUGCGCCCUUUCAACUCAGCAACACUCCUGGAGAGUUUAAUUAUGCAAUUCAGAGAUAAGAAUGAAGAUAAAAAUGAGACAGAUUUGAGGAAAUGUUUAGAAGGAAAGAGAUAUUUGCUUGUUCUUGAUGAUCUGUGGUCCAGAGUAGAGUGGGAUGCUAUAAAAGAGUAUUUGCCAGAAACUGCAGCAAGCUGCGUAAUAGUCACCACAAGGGAAGAGAAUAUCGCCAAGCAGUGCUCAAGGAAUAAAAGAAACAUAUACAGGCUCAACCAUCUGGGCCCUAAUGACGCAUGUGCUCUUUUCACCAAAAAGGUAUUUAAGGAGACCAUAAAUUUGGAUGAGCAAUAUCCGGAGUUGGUUGAACAAGCAAAACUGAUAUUGAAGAAGUGCAAAGGACUUCCCCUUGCACUAGUCACCAUAGGUGGCUUCUUGGCAAGCCAACCAAAAACUGCUUUUGAAUGGAGAAAAUUGAAUGAGCAUAUCAGUGCUGAGUUGGAGAUGAAUCCAGAACUUGAGAUCAUAAAAGCAGUCCUUAUGAAAAGCUAUGAUGGUUUACCCUAUUACCUCAAGGCUUGUUUCUUGUAUCUGGCCAUCUUUCCAGAAGACCAGAAGAUUGCACGGAGACGCUUAGUGCGUCGUUGGAUUGCAGAGAGUUACUCAAGUGAGGUGCGUGGCAAGUCAGUGGAGGAAGUAUUGGAGUGUUACUUCAUGGAACUUUUAAGCAGGAGCAUGAUCCUGCCAUCUCAACAGUCAAUUCAUAGUAGGAAAGGAAUUGACUCCUGCCAUGUCCAUGAUCUCAUUCGUGAAAUUGCCAUCUCAAAGGCUAUGGAGGAAAAUCUUGCAUUCACAUUGGAGGAAGGUUGCAGCUUAAAUAACCAAGGCAUGGUGCGUCAUCUUGCUGUAAGCAGCAAUUGGAAGGGGGAUCAGUGUGAGUUUGAGAAUAUAGUAGACUUGUCCCGUGUACGAUCACUGACAGUGUUUGGAAAUUGGAGGCCAUUUUACAUUUCUGAUAAGAUGAGGUUGCUACGAGUGCUGGAUUUGGAAGGCGAGUGGGAUCUAGUUGAUCAUCACCUUCAGCACAUUGGGAAGCUUGUACAUCUUAGAUAUCUUUCCCUAAGAGGACAUCAUACAAUAUUUCACCUGCCAAAUUCAUUGGGGAACCUGAGACAGCUCCACACAUUAGAUAUUUCAGGUACAAGCAUAAUAAAACUACCAAGGACCAUCAUCAAGCUUGAGAAGAUGGAACACAUUCUUGCUAGUGGCACAGGAGAUGCAGGUAGUCAUAUAGAUGCAGAUAAGCAGUCUCUGAUGUUGCCUCUGUGUUCAGCGUAUUGUUGUGUGGCAUGUUGUACACGGAGGAUCCUAGAAAAUGAACUCGAUCUUGAUGAUAGUGCACAACUUAACAGGCGUGAUAUAUGCACUAUGUUCUGUUGCAACAUAUUACCAUAUUUUGUGGCGGGACGAAAUCCAGGUGGUGUUGAAGUGCCAAGGGGAAUUUGGAAACUGAAGGCCCUGCACACACUGCGUACUGUGGACUUCUCAGUGGGGAAGGCUGUUCUACAAGAUAUAAAAAAGCUCACCCGGAUACGCAAGUUAGGAUUGACAGGCAUCAACAAGAGAAAUGGUCAAGAGUUGUGUUCAGCAAUUUCUCGUCUCAACAGCCUGGAGUCAUUGUCACUGCAAUCACAUGGAGAGACAGGUUUAUCAGUCUGCUUGGAUGGCCUGUCCUCACCUCCAAAAAACCUGCAGAGCCUCAAGUUGAUAGGCAACCUGGUUAAGCUGCCGGAGUGGAUCCAGGGGCUGAAAAAUGUUGUGAAGCUGAAGCUAGAUGGGUCGAGGAUAUCGGAGCAUGAUGCGGCCAUACAAGUCCUUGGGAGUCUACCAAACCUGGCCACCCUACGUCUAUUGGAUAACUCGUUCGUUGGUGAAGAGGUCCGUUUAAGUUUCUGUCAGGAGGCAUUCCCGAGCCUGAAGGUGCUGCAGUUGGAUUGCAUAGGAGACCUCAAGUUGGUGGGAUUUGAAGAAGGAGCAACCCCUAAGCUUGAGUUGCUACAGUAUUCUAAACUGAGGAGCAGUCCCAGUGUUGGGUUGUUCUGUGGGUUUCCACAUCUGCCAAGCCUCAAGGAAUUUAUGCUGAAUAGGAGUGACUGGCGUGAUACCAAGUUGAUGGAGGACCUGCGAGGCCAGCUCGCAGAGAAUAAGAACGGCCCGUUUUGA
rnacentral:rRNA from 1 species